UACGUAGGUGGCAAGCGUUGUCCGGAUUUACUGGGCGUAAAGAGCGCGUAGGCGGCUCGGUAAGCCGGAUGUGAAACCUCCAAGCUCAACUUGGAGCGGCCAUUCGGAACUGCUGUGGCUAGAGUCUGGUAGGGGAACACGGAAUUCCUGGUGUAGCGGUGAAAUGCUUAGAUAUCAGGAGGAACACCAGUGGCGAAGGCGGUGUUCUGGGCCAGUACUGACGCUGAGGCGCGAAAGCGUGGGGAGCGAACAGG
rnacentral:rRNA from 1 species